rnacentral:rRNA from 1 species
UACGAAGGGGGCUAGCGUUGCUCGGAAUUACUGGGCGUAAAGGGCGCGUAGGCGGACAGUUUAGUCAGGGGUGAAAUCCCGGGGCUCAACCUCGGAACUGCCUUUGAUACUGCGGGUCUUGAGUCCGAUAGAGGUGGGUGGAAUUCCUAGUGUAGAGGUGAAAUUCGUAGAUAUUAGGAAGAACACCGGUGGCGAAGGCGGCCCACUGGAUCGGUACUGACGCUGAGGUGCGAAAGCGUGGGGAGCAAACAGG